GCAGUAGUAGCUCAGCGGUAGAGCCCCGCUUCGCAUGCGGGGAGACCUGGGUUCGAUUCCCGGCUGCUUCC
rfam:Toxocara canis scaffold289, whole genome shotgun sequence.